AAGAGAACAAGAUUAGAGAUAGCUUCUAACUAAUUUCUAAAGCGGUUAAAUUCCGUUUAUCUCUUA
rnacentral:tRNA from 1 species